ensembl:lncRNA
AGCUACGCAUAUUACGCACUGCAUUGUUUGGGCCAGAUCUUUGUGUCUUUCAACAUGGCGGCUCUGUGGAAGCUGCCGUGUAUCUUCAUCUGUAACAACAACAAGUUCGGCAUGGGGACGUCUGUAGAGAGGUCCUCUGCUAGCACUGAGGACUUCAAGAAAAUAGACUAUAUUCCUGGCCUCAAGCCCUAGGACCAUGCCUCAGGACUACUUGGCCUGAUGACUCCUUGCUGUCUCCAGUCCACCUGGUCGUGCUGCUACUCCAGUUUCAACUGUUCCGCCUGUGGCUAUGGAACCCUGACCUGUUCACCGGACGUGCUACCUGUCCCAGACCUGCUGUUUUCAACUCUCUAGAGACAGCAGGAGCGGUAGAGAUACUCUUAAUGAACAGCUAUGAAAAGCCAACUGACAUUUACUCCUGAGGUGCUGACUUGCUGCACCCUCAACAACUACUGUGAUUAUUAUUAUUAUUAUUUGACCAUGCUGGUCAUUUAUGAACAUUUGAACAUCUUGGCCAUGUUCUGUUAUAAUCUACACCUGGCACAUCCAGAUGAGGACUGGUCACCCCUCAUAGCCAGGUUCCUCUCUAGGCUUCUUCCUAGGUUUUGGCCUUUCUAGGGAGUUUUUCCUAGCCACCGUGCUUCUACACCUGCAUUGCUUGCUGUUUGGGGUUUUAGGCCGGGUUUCUGUACAGCACUUUGAGAUAUCAGCUGAUGUGAGAAGGGCUAUAUAAAUACAUUUGAUUUGAGUUAUCCAGAAAACAUGACCCAUGUAUUCAUGACCCAUGUACAGUGGUUCAAAGAGCAACUUUUGCAUAGAUAAUUAUGCAACCACUUUUGUUAUCCAGCAAUGUUGAUUCAAUGAUGCACAUGUUUAUAUUCAAAACAAAGAAGUUGUAAUUAAUCAAAGUCUUAUUGUCUCAUUUAAUGUAUUGACUGUACAUUUUAUAUAACAACAUGUUUCCUAAGUUGUAGAUGACUAUGUUGGUUACUAUGCUGUACCACAGCGCCGAUGUCAAGUCUUCCGCAAAAGUUGGUCUCUCUCCUUGUUCGGGCAGUGUUCGGCGGUUGACGUCACCAACCAUUUAGCCAUCAUUGAUCAAUUUUUCAUUUUCCAUUGGUUUUAUCUUGUCUGUCUACACACCUGGUUCCAAUCCCAUCAAUUACAUGUUGUGUAUUUAACCCUCUGUUUCCCCUCAUGUCCUUGUCAGAGAUUGUUUGGUGUAUGUAGGUGUUUAUUGUUAAUUCUGGUGUGCGAUGGGUUUUGUACCCCCUAUUUGUUAUUUUGUUACUUUGGUUUUCGGAGGUUUUGAUGUUUAUUAAACAGCUCCAUUUUUAACAAA